CGUAGGUGGCAAGCGUUGUCCGGAAUUAUUGGGCGUAAAGCGCGCGCAGGCGGUCUUUUAAGUCUGAUGUGAAAGCCCCCGGCUUAACCGGGGAGGGUCAUUGGAAACUGGGAGACUUGAGUGCAGGAGAGGGAAGCGGAAUUCCAUGUGUAGCGGUGAAAUGCGUAGAGAUAUGGAGGAACACCAGUGGCGAAGGCGGCUUCCUGGCCUGUAACUGACGCUGAGGCGCGAAAAGCGUGGGGGAGCAAACAGGAUU
rnacentral:rRNA from 1 species